rnacentral:rRNA from 1 species
GACGAACGCUGGCGGCGUGCUUAACACAUGCAAGUCGAACGCUGAAGCUCAGCUUUUGUUGGGUGGAUGAGUGGCGAACGGGUGAGUAACACGUGAGUAACCUGCCCCCUUCUUUGGGAUAACGCCCGGAAACGGGUGCUAAUACUGGAUAUUCACUGGUCUUCGCAUGGGGGUUGGUGGAAAGGGUUUUUCUGGUGGGGGAUGGGCUCGCGGCCUAUCAGCUUGUUGGUGGGGUGAUGGCCUACCAAGGCUUUGACGGGUAGCCGGCCUGAGAGGGUGCCCGGUCACAUUGGGACUGAGAUACGGCCCAGACUACUACGGGAGGCAGCAGUGGGGAAUAAUGCACAAUGGGCGCAAGACUGAUGCAGCGACGCCGCGUGAGGGAUGGAGGCCUUCGGGUUGUGAACCUCUUUCGCUCAUGGUCAAGCCGCAACAAUGGUUGUGGUGAGGGUAGUGGGUAAAGAAGCGCCGGCUAACUACGUG